rnacentral:rRNA from 1 species
CGCGCAGGCGGCCAGGUCAGUCGAAUGUGAAAGCCCCCGGCUCAACUGGGGAGGGUCAUUCGAUACUGCCUGGCUUGAAGAUAGGAGAGGGAAGCGGAAUUUCAGGUGUAGUGGUGAAACGCGUAGAUAUCUGAAGGAACACCAGUGGCGAAGGCGGCUUUCUGGCCUAUUCUUGACGCUGAGGCGCGAAAGCUAGGGGAGCGAACG